GAUCGAACGGGGAGAUUCAUCGUCAGCGGCGCUGGCUUCGCGUCGGUGGGCGAUGUCCCGCGGAGUCCUCGCGGCUCGCGCGCGGGCACGCUACCGUGCGUCGAUGUCCGGCGCUCGUCGUCGUGCACUUCUCCCCAAGUAGAACGUCGCGACCCGCUGGGUGUCGGUCUACGGCCCGGGUGCGGUGACUGUCGCGUCGCCGGUAAAACGGCACGCGACAAACCCCCSGUCGCCCGGCCGGCUGCUCGGCGGUACGCGCAUGGUAUCAGGCCGCACUAUUUUACGGUGCGUCGAGGCCGUCGCAAGCGCGCGCCACGGUACUCGGAGGUUACGGACUUUGCGCCGUCCCCGGUCCUGGUCCGCUGUUGGUUAAAGUACGGUUCACCUUCGACAGGCCUGCGAACGUCUCUCCCCGGAGAGACCGAUACCGGUCGGCGACGCUACUGCUUUGGGUACUCUUAGGACCCGUCUUGAAACACGGACCAAGGAGUCUAACAUGUACGCGAGUCAUUGGGACUUGUCGCGAGACCUAAAGGCGUAAUGAAAGUGAAGGUCGGCCCUGGCCGUCGACCGAGGGAGGAUGGGCCGCGUCGCGAUGCSGGGCCUCGCACUCCCGGGGCGUCUCGUUCUCAUCGCGAGAAGAGGCGCACCCAGAGCGUACACGUUGGGACCCGAAAGAUGGUGAACUAUGCCUGGUCAGGACGAAGUCAGGGGAAACCCUGAUGGAGGUCCGUAGCGAUUCUGACGUGCAAAUCGAUCGUCGGAACUGGGUAUAGGGGCGAAAGACUAAUCGAACCAUC
rnacentral:rRNA from 1 species